ACGCUCGACACCUACGGGAGGCAGCAGUGGGGAAUAUUGCACAAUGGGGGAAACCCUGAUGCAGCGACGCCGCGUGAGCGAAGAAGUAUUUCGGUAUGUAAAGCUCUAUCAGCAGGGAAGAAACUGACGGUACCUGACUAAGAAGCACCGGCUAAAUACGUGCCAGCAGCCGGGUAAUCUGAGCGGCUGGCAAGGC
rnacentral:rRNA from 1 species